rnacentral:rRNA from 1 species
GAUGAACGCUGGCGGCGUGCCUAACACAUGCAAGUCGAACGAGAUGCGUAUUGGAAAGCUUCGGCCGGAAGAUGCGUUAUCUAGUGGCGGACGGGUGAGUAACACGUGGGUAACCUGCCUUAUGGAGGGGGAUAACAGAGAGAAAUCACUGCUAAUACCGCAUAAGCUCACAUUGCCGCAUGGCAGAGUGUGAAAAGAUUUAUCGCCAUAAGAUGGACCCGCGUCUGAUUAGCCAGUUGGCAGGGUAAAAGCCUACCAAAGCAACGAUCAGUAGCCGAUCUGAGAGGAUGACCGGCCACAUUGGGACUGAGACACGGCCCAAACUCCUACGGGAGGCAGCAGUGGGGAAUAUUGCACAAUGGGGGAAACCCUGAUGCAGCGACGCCGCGUGAGUGAAGAAGUAUUUCGGUAUGUAAAGCUCUAUCAGCAGGGAAGAUAAUGACAGUACCUGACUAAAAGCCCGGCUA